rnacentral:rRNA from 1 species
CAGCAGCCGCGGUAAUACAGAGGGUGCGAGCGUUAAUCGGAUUUACUGGGCGUAAAGCGUGCGUAGGCGGCUAAUUGAGUCGGAUGUGAAAUCCCCGAGCUUAACUUGGGAAUUGCAUUCGAUACUGGUUAGCUAGAGUGUGGGAGAGGAUGGUAGAAUUCCAGGUGUAGCGGUGAAAUGCGUAGAGAUCUGGAGGAAUACCGAUGGCGAAGGCAGCCAUCUGGCCUAACACUGACGCUGAGGUACGAAAGCAUGGGGAGCAAACAGGAUUAGAUACCCUUGUAGUCCCUGUCUCUUAUAC